AAAAAAAAAAAAAAAAAAAUAGAACUUAUUUAAACUAGCAGAAAACAUAUGCGACUUCAAGCCAUAUCAACAACCAUGAAUAUAAAUUUGCAAUGAAACAAAGACUAAGCAUAAACAAGUUAAUAGACCAAAAACAGAGUCAUAACAAAAGUAAAAAAAUAAUAAUUUUAUUUUCAAUUUGUGAUAUCAGUACACAAUAAAGGUUUGAGAAAGGUGAAACUCUGUUUAUAAUGCAACGCCCAUUUAUAACGAAUAAAAAAUUCUAGAUAUGAAUGGGAUCUACAUAACCAACAACUCAGAAUUAAUAGAACUAAAAAAAGGAAAUUCUAAAUUAACAGUUUAACACUUAGCAAAAGGUAAAGGGAGAAAAAGAUAAAAUGUGAACAGAAUAUAUCAUCUUCCACAGUACCACGAAAAUACCUUCAAUGCGAGCAAUGGUACAAUUGUCUAGAAACAGGGGAUAAAGGCAAAAUCGGGAUCAAAUAGGCAGAAAUGGGUCUGAUUAAGGAGAAAUACAAGGAAUGCCACUAACUACUGAGGUAGAAGGUAAACUGCAAUGAGGAGGUGCGUGAGUUGAAUGCUGGUCUUUCGUUGGUCCAUUUUAUCGCUCUGGUGAAGGCCAAAAUAACGCCAAUGGUGAAGUGGUGAGCUAAGGGAUGGCGUUAGGCAGGAGAUUCGUUUUAUUAAAGAGCUGAUGA
rnacentral:misc_RNA from 1 species